rnacentral:rRNA from 1 species
AACGUAGGACGCAAGCGUUAUCCGGAGUUACUGGGCGUAAAGCGCGAGCAGGCGGCUCGACAAGUUCGAUGUGAAAGCACCCGGCUCAACCGGGCGAGGCCAUUGAAAACUAGCGAGCUGGAGGGCAGUAGAGGCAGGCGGAAUUCCGGGAGGAGUGGUGAAAUGCGUAGAGAUCCGGAGGAACACCAGAGGCGAAGGCGGCCUGCUGGGCUGCACCUGACGCUGAGCCGCGAAAGCCAGGGGAGCGAACGGG